UCCCUGGUGGCUCAGAGGGUAAAGCAUCUGCCUACAAUGUAGUAGACCUGGGUUCGAUCCCUGGGUUGGGAA
rnacentral:tRNA from 1 species